rnacentral:rRNA from 1 species
CUGGCGGCAUGCCUAACACAUGCAAGUCGAACGAGACCUUCGGGUCUAGUGGCGCACGGGUGCGUAACGCGUGGGAAUCUACCCUUGGGUUCGGAAUAACUCAGAGAAAUUUGAGCUAAUACCGGAUGAUGUCGAAAGACCAAAGAUUUAUCGCCCAAGGAUGAGCCCGCGUAGGAUUAGCUAGUUGGUGAGGUAAAGGCUCACCAAGGCGACGAUCCUUAGCUGGUCUGAGAGGAUGAUCAGCCACACUGGGACUGAGACACGGCCCAGACUCCUACGGGAGGCAGCAGUGGGGAAUAUUGGACAAUGGGCGAAAGCCUGAUCCAGCAAUGCCGCGUGAGUGAUGAAGGCCUUAGGGUUGUAAAGCUCUUUUACCCGGGAUGAUAAUGACAGUACCGGGAGAAUAAGCCCCGGCUAACUCCGUGCCAGCAGCCGCGGUAAUACGGAGGGGGCUAGCGUUGUUCGGAAUUACUGGGCGUAAAGCGCGCGUAGGCGGCUAUUCAAGUCAGAGGUGAAAGCCCGGAGCUCAACUCCGGAAUUGCCUUUGAAACUAGAUAGCUUGAAUCACGGAGAGGUCAGUGGAAUUCCGAGUGUAGAGGUGAAAUUCGUAGAUAUUCGGAAGAACACCAGUGGCGA